rnacentral:rRNA from 1 species
CACGAAGGGUGCAAGCGUUACUCGGAAUUACUGGGCGUAAAGGGUGCGUAGGUGGUUUGUUAAGUCUGCUGUGAAAUCCCCGGGCUCAACCUGGGAAUGGCAGUGGAUACUGGCAAGCUAGAGUGCGGUAGAGGGUAGUGGAAUUCCCGGUGUAGCAGUGAAAUGCGUAGAGAUCGGGAGGAACACCAGUGGCGAAGGCGGCUACCUGGACCAGCACUGACACUGAAGCACGAAAGCGUGGGGAGCAAACAGG